GAUGAAGAACGCAGCGAAAUGCGAUAAGUAAUGUGAAUUGCAGAAUUCAGUGAAUCAUCGAAUCUUUGAACGCACAUUGCGCCCCUUGUUAUUCCGGGGGGCAUGCCUGUUCGAGCGUCAUUAUAACCCUCAAGCCUAGCUUGGUGUUGGAGCAUGCUACCUAAGCAGCUCUUAAAAUCAGUGGCAGUGCCCUUCGGCUCUAAGCGUAGUAACUUCUCUCGCUAUGGAACCCUGAGGGUACGCGCCAGAACCCCCAACUUUCUAUGGUUGACCUCGGAUCAGGUAGGGAUACCCGCUGAACUUAAGCAUAUCAAUAAGCGGAGGA
rnacentral:misc_RNA from 1 species